rnacentral:tRNA from 1 species
GGCCGUGUGGCGAAAUGGCAUCGCGUCUGACUACGACUCCGCACGAAUCAGGAGAUUGCAGGUUCGACCCCUGUCUCGGUCA